rnacentral:rRNA from 1 species
GGGGGAAUAAUUAAUUAUUUUUAAUUAAUAAAAAAAUUUUUAAUUUAUAAUAAGAGUUUAAGUAUUUUUUAGGGGGAAAAUUUUAAAUUUUAUAGUAAAUUAGUAUUGUAAAAGAAUUUUAAAAUAUUUGAAAUAAAUUUAAUAAAAAGUAAUUUUUAUUUAAUGUAUCUUGUGUAUCAGAGUUUAUUAAAUAAUAUUUUUUUAAGAAAAUUUCUCGAAUUAAAAAGAGUUAUUUAAUUAUAAAAUUUAUUAUAAUAUAAAUAUUUUUAAUAAUUAAAUUGUAAUGAAAUGUUAAUCGUUUUUUAAGAUAUCUAGUUUUUUUAGAAAAAAAUUUAAUUUUAAAUUUUAAAAAUUAUUUAAUUUUUUUUUUAAUUUUUUAUUUUAAUAUUUUAAUAUUUUAAGGGAUAAGCUUUAAAUUAAAUUUUUAUAAAAUUAUUUAUUUUAUUAAUAAUUUUAUAAUUUAUAUUGUUAAAUAAAUUUUAAUUUAUUAUAAAUAAUUUUAAAUAAAUAAAAAUUUUAAUGAAUUUUUAAUUUUUUAUAAAAAAAUAAUUUUUAAUAAAAUAUAUUUAGAUAAAAUGAUAAAAUUAGUAUAUAAAAUUAUAAUAUUAAAUUUAAUUUUUAUUAAAUAUAUUUAUAAGGAAUUCGGCAAAAAUUUAUAUUCACCUGUUUAUCAAAAACAUGUCUUUUUGUUAAUAAUUUAAAGUCUAAUCUGCCCACUGAUUUUAUAUUAAAGGGCUGCAGUAUUUUGACUGUACAAAGGUAGCAUAAUCAUUAGUCUCUUAAUUGGUGACUUGUAUGAAUGAUUGGAUGAAAUAUAAACUGUUUUAUAUGGUAUUUUGUGAAAUUUAAUUUUUUUAUUAAAAAGUAAAAAUAAAUAUAAAAGACGAGAAGACCCUAUAGAGUUUAAUAAAGUUAGAAUUUGAUAAUUUUUUAUUUUAUUAAUAUUAAAAGUUUUAUUUUUAUUUUAUUGGGGUGAUAAAAAAAUUAAAUAAACUUUUUUAUAAAAUUUUCAUUGAUAAUUGAGUAUUUGAUCCAAUUUUAUUGAUUAUAAGAAAAAGUUACCUUAGGGAUAACAGCGUAAUUUUUUUUUUUAGUUCAAAUAAAAAAAAAAGUUUGCGACCUCGAUGUUGGAUUAAGAUAAAAUUUAAAUGAAAAAGUUUAAAAUUUUGAUCUGUUCGAUCAUUAAAAUCUUACAUGAUCUGAGUUCAAACCGGUGUAAGCCAGGUUGGUUUCUAUCUUUAUAUAGAAAAAAUAUUUUAGUACGAAAGGAUCAAAUAUUUAAAAUAAUUUUUAUUAUGGGAAUUUUAUUAAGUUUAUUUUAAAUUUAUAGUUAUUUUUAAUUUUAAUUUAUUAUUAUAUA